AGUUCGGAUUGCAGGCUGCAACCCGCCUGCAUGAAGUCGGAAUCGCUAGUAAUCGCGAGUCAGCAUAUCGCGGUGAAUACGUUCCCGGGUCUUGUACACACCGCCCGUCACACCAUGGGAGUCGGAAAUGCCCGAAGCCGGUGACCAAACCAAUAAGGAAGGAGCCGUCGAAGGCAGGUCCGAUAACUGGGGUGAAGUCGUAACAAGGUAGC
rnacentral:rRNA from 1 species